UGGGGAAUAUUGCGCAAUGGGGGGAACCCUGACGCAGCCAUGCCGCGUGAAUGAAGAAGGCCUUAGGGUUGUAAAGUUCUUUCGGUAUUGAGGAAGGUUGAUGUGUUAAUAGCACAUCAAAUUGACGUUAAAUACAGAAGAAGCACCGGCUAACUCCGUGCCAGCAGCCGCGGUAAUACGGAGGGUGCGAGCGUUAAUCGGAAUAACUGGGCGUAAAGGGCACGCAGGCGGUUAUUUAAGUGAGGUGUGAAAGCCCCGGGCUUAACCUGGGAAUUGCAUUUCAGACUGGGUAACUAGAGUACUUUAGGGAGGGGUAGAAUUCCACGUGUAGCGGUGAAAUGCGUAGAGAUGUGGAGGAAUACCGAAGGCGAAGGCAGCCCCUUGGGAAUGUACUGACGCUCAUGUGCGAAAGCGUGGGGAGCAAACAGGAUUAGAUACCCUGGUAGUCCACGCUGUAAACGCUGUCGAUUUGGGGGUUGGGGUUUAACUCUGGCGCCCGUAGCUAGCGUGAUAAAUCGACCGCCUGGGGAGUACGGCCGCAAGGUUA
rnacentral:rRNA from 1 species